rnacentral:rRNA from 1 species
UACGUAGGGUGCGAGCGUUAAUCGGAAUUACUGGGCGUAAAGCGUGCGCAGGCGGUUCUCCAAGUCCGUUGUGAAAGCCCCGGGCUCAACCUGGGAAUGGCAGUGGAAACUAGGGGACUGGAAUCUGGCAGAGGGGGGUGGAAUGCCGCGUGUAGCAGUGAAAUGCGUAGAGAUCCGGAGGAACACCAGCGGCGAAGGCGGCAUCCUGGACUGGUCCUGACACUCAUGAGCGAAAGCGUGGGGAGCGAUCCGG